rnacentral:rRNA from 1 species
AUGCUUGUUACAAUUUUGAAACCUGUUACUCUUUACUGCACCAGAUCGCCGCCAGCCCCUACCCCGGCCCCAAGGUCGCCGGCAGCGUCAAUCCCGACGCCCAGGUCACCGUCACCCCCAACCUCGAUGCCCAGGUCCUGGGCGGCAGAUAUGACUGCAGUGGAUCCAGGUGGCCAGAAAGAAGCGCACGACGAAGGUUCGGGCGGCAUCGAUGCCUGGGAAGAAGAGUAUGGCAUUGGCAAGGUCCAAAAUAGAUCUCUGCUUGAUAAGCUUCAAAAUCUCUCUUGUCUCAUACUGUAUGUUGUGAACUAUGUAUACUUGCAGGGCUCUUCAAAAUGCACGCGAGAGGAUUCAACAUCUUGGAGAUAUUCGAAACGGGAAGAAAGAAAUGGCUCAUGUCGACCAUGUUUAGAGCAUGUAGCCUUCUGA